rnacentral:rRNA from 1 species
AGUGGCAGACGGGUGAGUAAUGCAUAGGAAUCUACCUAGUAGUAUGGGAUAGCCACUAGAAAUGGUGGGUAAUACUGUAUAAUCCCUGCGGGGGAAAGAUUUAUCGCUAUUAGAUGAGCCUAUGUUAGAUUAGCUAGUUGGUAGGGUAAAGGCCUACCAAGGCAGUGAUCUAUAGCUGGUCUGAGAGGAUGAUCAGCCACACUGGAACUGAGAUACGGUCCAGACUCCUACGGGAGGCAGCAGUGGGGAAUAUUGGACAAUGGGCGCAAGCCUGAUCCAGCUAUGCCGCGUGAGUGAGGAAGGCCUUAGGGUUGUAAAACUCUUUCAGUGGGGAAGAUAAUGACGGUACCCACAGAAGAAGUCCCGGCAAACUCCGUGCCAGCAGCCGCGGUAAUACGGAGGGGGCAAGCGUUGUUCGGAAUUAUUGGGCGUAAAGGGCAUGUAGGCGGUUCGGUAAGUUAAAG